rnacentral:lncRNA from 1 species
CGUUCCCUGCUUUCAAUUCAAUCGGUCUUUGAAUUGUUAAACCGAAGAAGAAGGAGAAAGAAAAAUGGCGGUAGCCAACUCCAAAUAUAAUCAAAUCCGCUGAAAGAGGAGAAAAAAAAAAAAAAAAGAACAAGAAGAGAAUGGAAGAGCUUAACUUGCAAAAGCUCGUUGUUGAUAUCCGUACUAGUCCUAAGACUUCUCCAGUAAGUGAAUAUCUGUGGAUUAUGUGUUGUUUAAUUGGUAUGCAUGCAGAUAAUGGUUUACAUAUCGUACGACACCUACCUAGAUGAAGCAGGUGAAACCAUGGGUUCCUCGACCAUCAACCUAGUUGGUACCAGUAAGGAGUGUCUCAUUUGCAGGCAAGACCCACCCCUGUUAGCUAUAAGGAAGUCUCUGUGUGUGUAUGUGAAUGGGUUUCGCGCCCUUGCGUGAUAAUUUUUGUUAAUAAGUCUUAUUGUGUAUCUCUUCUAUUUGUAUUGCAGAUUAUUAGGAAUUACCAAUGAUUUCUGUGCCAUAUACUG